AUGGAGCUAUUCGCCGACCUUCCGGGUUAUCCCGAUAAUGUGAGGCCCGACAAGAAAGGAGGAUAUUGGGUGGCGCUACACCGUGAGAAGGCUGAGCUCCCCUUUGGCGUCGAUAGCCACCUACUCGCCCCGAGGAUCGAUGUUGACGGAAAAAAUAAUCGAGAGAUGAGAGGACCCAAGAGCGUGAGGCCGACCGAGGUCGUGGAGAGGAAAGGUGGCAGAUUGCAUGGGAUCCGUCGAGCUUACUUACAUGGCAGUCGUCACAUGCAAAUAGAUAUAGAUCAAUUCAAUUAA
rnacentral:rRNA from 1 species